AGCGAACGCUGGCGGCAGGCCUAACACAUGCAAGUCGAACGAACUCUUCGGAGUUAGUGGCGGACGGGUGCGUAACACGUGGGAACGUGCCUUUUGGUUCGGAAUAACUCAGGGAAACUUGUGCUAAUACCGAAUGUGCCCUUCGGGGGAAAGAUUUAUCGCCAUUAGAGCGGCCCGCGUCUGAUUAGCUAGUUGGUGAGGUAACGGCUCACCAAGGCGACGAUCAGUAGCUGGUCUGAGAGGAUGACCAGCCACACUGGGACUGAGACACGGCCCAGACUCCUACGGGAGGCAGCAGUGGGGAAUAUUGCGCAAUGGGCGAAAGCCUGACGAAGCCAUGCCGCGUGAAUGAUGAAGGUCUUAGGAUUGUAAAAUUCUUUCACCGGGGACGAUAAUGACGGUACCCGGAGAAGAAGCCCCGGCUAACUUCGUG
rnacentral:rRNA from 1 species